rnacentral:ncRNA from 2 species
GUAGCCUUGCCGCUUCGAGGUUCUCCGGCGUUGGCCGGAGCUAAGACGGGAACGCGGUCGAUGCCGCGGCUGCCCCCGCAACUGUAGGCACUGGAACGGAUCGGCACAGCCACUGCGCACGCGCGGGAAGGCGCCAUCCCGCUGGCAAUGCUGCCGGCACAGUGCGAGCCAGGAGACCUGCCUCGUGACGUUUUCGACU